GAGUUUAAAACAUUAAAUUGCAAAUUUAAAAAAAGUUUAAUAAUUUUAACUUU
rnacentral:tRNA from 1 species